AGCGAACGCUGGCGGCAGGCCUAACACAUGCAAGUCGAACGAACCCUUCGGGGUUAGUGGCGGACGGGUGAGUAACACGUGGGAACGUGCCUUUAGGUUCGGAAUAACUCAGGGAAACUUGUGCUAAUACCGAAUGUGCCCUUCGGGGGAAAGAUUUAUCGCCUUUAGAGCGGCCCGCGUCUGAUUAGCUAGUUGGUGAGGUAAUGGCUCACCAAGGCUACGAUCAGUAGCUGGUCUGAGAGGAUGACCAGCCACAUUGGGACUGAGACACGGCCCAAACUCCUACGGGAGGCAGCAGUGGGGAAUUGUGCGCAAUGGGCGAAAGCCUGACGCAGCCAUGCCGCGUGGAUGAUGAAGGUCUUAGGAUUGUAAAAUCCUUUCACCGGUGAAGAUAAUGACUGUAGCCGGAGAAGAAGCCCCGGCUAACUUCGUGCCAGCCGCCGCGGUAACAC
rnacentral:rRNA from 1 species